rnacentral:rRNA from 1 species
GAUGAACGCUGGCGGCGUGCCUAAUACAUGCAAGUCGAGCGAACAGAUGAGGAGCUUGCUCCUCAGACGUUAGCGGCGGACGGGUGAGUAACACGUGGAUAACCUACCUAUAAGACUGGGAUAACUUCGGGAAACCGGAGCUAAUACCGGAUAAUAUAUUGAACCGCAUGGUUCAAUAGUGAAAGACGGUUUUGCUGUCACUUAUAGAUGGAUCCGCGCCGCAUUAGCUAGUUGGUAAGGUAACGGCUUACCAAGGCGACGAUGCGUAGCCGACCUGAGAGGGUGAUCGGCCACACUGGAACUGAGACACGGUCCAGACUCCUACGGGAGGCAGCAGUAGGGAAUCUUCCGCAAUGGGCGAAAGCCUGACGGAGCAACGCCGCGUGAGUGAUGAAGGUCUUCGGAUCGUAAAACUCUGUUAUUAGGGAAGAACAAAUGUGUAAGUAACUAUGCACGUCUUGACGGUACCUAAUCAGAAAGCCACGGCUAACUACGUG